rnacentral:lncRNA from 1 species
UGUUUAGGGAACUGUUUUCUCAGUUCAGCUUGUAUCAGGUGACAUUCAUAGAAUCCACCAACCAUUAUGAUGAGCGAUGUCAUGCGAGCUUCCCUUUUCUCUAGUACAGACUUCACAAGAGAAAUAAUGCCAUGGAUAGUUGGACCAAACAGGGAUUUCAUUAAAUCUAUUUCAAAUCUUAUUUUGUCACCACGGCGAAUAAUAUCUCCUUUAUAUUUAGAAGAUGCUAAUGCAGAAUCAAAACUCUCGGAUAAAUGUUUUUGACAAAGUGAAUCGAACGAUGCAAAAGGGAAUGUGACAUUGACAUUUCCUGUAGUUGUGGUAUCAAUUGUUCUUUUGACAUUUUCAAACGCCCCGAAAAUAUUUGAGUAGGCACCUGGUUCAUUUUGUUUCAAUUUAUUCAUAAGUGGAGCCCCAACUAUCUUUACAAUUAGUUAAAAAAGGCA